ACGGGUGAGUAAUGCCUAGGAAUCUGCCUGGUAGUGGGGGAUAACGUUCGGAAACGGACGCUAAUACCGCAUACGUCCUACGGGAGAAAGCAGGGGACCUUCGGGCCUUGCGCUAUCAGAUGAGCCUAGGUCGGAUUAGCUAGUUGGUGAGGUAAUGGCUCACCAAGGCGACGAUCCGUAACUGGUCUGAGAGGAUGAUCAGUCACACUGGAACUGAGACACGGUCCAGACUCCUACGGGAGGCAGCAGUGGGGAAUAUUGGACAAUGGGCGAAAGCCUGAUCCAGCCAUGCCGCGUGUGUGAAGAAGGUCUUCGGAUUGUAAAGCACUUUAAGUUGGGAGGAAGGGCAGUUACUUAAUACGUGAUUGUUUUGACGUUACCGACAGAAUAAGCACCGGCUAACUCUGUGCCAGCAGCCGCGGUAAUACAGAGGGUGCAAGCGUUAAUCGGAAUUACUGGGCGUAAAGCGCGCGUAGGUGGUUUGUUAAGUUGGAUGUGAAAUCCCCGGGCUCAACCUGGGAACUGCAUUCAAAACUGACUGACUAGAGUGUGGUAGAGGGUGGUGGAAUUUCCUGUGUAGCGGUG
rnacentral:rRNA from 2 species